UACGGGGGGGGCAAGCGUUGUUCGGAAUUACUGGGCGUAAAGGGCUCGUAGGCGGCCAACUAAGUCAGACGUGAAAUCCCUCGGCUUAACCGGGGAACUGCAUCGGAUACUGGAUGGCUUGAAUUCGGGAGAGGGAUGCAGAAUUCCAGGUGUAGCGGUGAAAUGCGUAGAUAUCUGGAGGAACACCGGUGGCGAAGGCGGCAUCCUGGACCGACACUGACGCUGAGGAGCGAAAGCCAGGGGAGCAAACGGG
rnacentral:rRNA from 1 species